UACGAAGGGUGCAAACGUUGCUCGGAAUUAUUGGGCGUAAAGCGCACGUAGGCGGCUUUGCAAGUCCCAUGUGAAAUCCCACGGCUUAACCGUGGAAGUGCAUGGGAAACUGCAGAGCUUGAGUACUUAAGAGGAUCGCGGAAUUCCCGGUGUAGAGGUGAAAUUCGUAGAUAUCGGGAGGAACACCAGUGGCGAAGGCGGCGAUCUGGGAAGAGUACUGACGCUGAGGUGCGAAAGCGUGGGAGCAACAGG
rnacentral:rRNA from 1 species